GUUCUGUCUAGCACAUAUACUAAAAUUGGAAUGAUACAGAGAAGAUUAGCAUGGUCCCUGCGCGCGCAAGGAUGACACGCAAAAUUGUAAGUGGUGUGUGUUU